rnacentral:tRNA from 1 species
GCGCCCAUAGCUCAGUGGAAUAGAGCACUUGGCUACGAACCAAGGGGCCGGGGGUUCAAAUCCCUCUGGGCGCACCA